UCUUACAGCUCAGAUCCUGGCUAUGAUUUAAUAUGUGCCAAUCAGAAGCUCCAUUCAAGACUCUCAUUCAGUGCCGAGUUCAGUGGAGAGACGGCAGGAGGAGGCUCUGCAGGCAGCAGAGAGUCUGACCGCUUCCCGGUGACAUCAAUGGUGACAACAAUGGUGGCAGAGAUGUGUCUGGGGGUUCACCUACAGUCCUUCCCUUCAGUUCCCCCAGAGGGUCUGUCAUCUGUUGUAGUGAAGCAAGAAUCUCCUUUUCUGGAGACCUGACACAAUGGCUCUGCUUACUGUCACCUGGUUUAACCGGUCACCUCCAUCCAUCACAGCCUCUCCUGGUUGCUGUAUGCUUGAUCUUGAGCUAGAAAGUGAGAUCUCCAAGAUUUGACUUCUCUUCUGUGAGGUGACAUGUUUUAGAGCAGACCUCUGCGCCUGACAGGCUAUGUCUUUGCUUCGUCCUCUGAAGGACCCACAGAGCAAACGGAAUGCCAGUGAGACUGUGAAAUUGAUCUGCUUCAGUGAUCCAUCUUAGGGUGUACAGAGCACCUGAGCCUGUCCAUCAAAGCUCUGGCCUCACUGCUCCUGGAUUCUCUGUCUGUCUUAAUCCCAGUUGUCAUCCAUGGACAAAGGAUGCUUUCGUCUCUGACUCCCAAUGUCUGUGGAGCCAGUGUUCUGAAUACUGCAGCAACAGGGGCUGGUGUCUCUCAGGAAGGAGAUACUGCAUGAGGCAAGGCACAGUGAAUGAAAUCACCCAUGAGAAGAGGAGAUGCGUGCUCCAGAACUCCCACUGGCUAUUAGCUGUGGUUGCCAUGGCUGCCGCUGAUAUCAUCACCAUUGACAAGGACGUCACAUCAUCGUUAUGGCUUCCACUCUGUUGCUGUUUGGAUUUUCUUCAUCCAGAUGAUGGGGUUUGUGAUCUCCUCCGAAGACUUUUGAAGAAUAGGGACACACAACUCUGCCAUUAACCUCAUGUGCGGAUGAAGAAAACAGAGCCCAGGGUUGUGAAUCCUAGCCCCAAGUAGACUCAUCUCUCUGCCACUUGGGCAUGCUUUAAAUCUUCACAUUCAAACUGCCACUUUGCACGUUGUGGAAACCAUCCCAGCAGCCCUGGGCCUGUGGGGAAAGGCUCUGGCCACAGAGGCUACCUGACCACUAGGAUGAAAGAAGCCACAGGAGCAGCUGCAAAGAACACUCCUCCAUCUUAGAGACAAGACAACCAAAGCUAGACAACACACCCUCGCUGUUUAUUUCCAUCAUGGUCCCUACGGAAAGCAGGAGUGGAGGCUGAUGAGAGAAAAGAUGACUUUCUGUAGUUCGAGGAAGGUGAGAAGUGAGAAUUCCCCACCUCCACCCCGAGAUGAGACAUCUGUUCUCCACUCUCGCUCUGGGACAGUAGCUCUUCUCCAUGACCCAAACUAUCCCCAGCUGUGUCCUUUGGAACGGAGAGCAUGACCCUCUCUCUGUGUGGAACACUCCGCACCCAGGAGGCAUCAUUCUGAACUCCAUUCAGGAUGGAGCCUUCCAGACCUUCAUCAUCUCAAAACUAUGUGCAGGGCAGCAAGACUGUACUCAUGACCCAGGGUGACCACGUACUCUCUCCUCCUCAGAACCUGAUCUUUGGAGAAGCAGCCAUGGUGCACAGAGGAAGGCGAUCGCCAUGGUGCCCCCAAAGCUCCAGCAGCCAUGUGCUAAUAAUGCAAGAAGCUGAAGGAGAUUGAGGGGGAGACUUGGCUCAGAGACUGGAAACAGAAAUGAUAAGCGAAGUGAUGCUUAAUUAAAAGCACAUUUGUAAAAAGAUCAGGCCUGGCCAAAAAAAAAAAAAAAAAAAAAAAUGACAACGAUAGCUAAACUUUUAAAAUCAAGUCACUCUCUCCUGAGAUUUCUUCCAGAGCCAGGCUGAAUUCAGGACUCUGGGUUUUGUCUUCUAGGAGAGUCUGCAGAUCUGGGGAGGAAUGGGGGGCAGGCAGUGAGGGGGAGGUAAGCUAAGUGACAAAGUGCUAGCUCCUGGGGCGUCUGCAAAGGGCAGGGCUUCUCCAAGCAUGACCCGAGAUAUGAAAGGCCAUGGCAGGAAUGAGGCAAAACUCAAACAUGCCUCACCUACGUGCCAGCCACAAACCCAGGGCAGACACCGCAAACACACAUGAAUGGCUUCACAAGGAUGGAGGUCCCGAAACAAAAACCUGAACUCCAAAUCAUGAAUGUCCUGGGAAAAUGGAUCACUCUGUAAAGUGCCUGCCUUGCAAGCACAAGGACAUGAGUGUAAACCUCAGAACUCACAAACUCACAUACAAAGAAAAAAAAAAAGCCCUAGCCUGUGCUUAUAUCGAUACUUGGAUGCAGAGGCAGAUGGAUCCCUUAGACCCACCAACCAGCUUAGCCGACUCCUAGCUCAACGAGAGACCCUGUCUCAAAAAAAAAAAAAAAAAGAAAGAAAGAAAGAAAGAAAGGUGAAUGAUAUCCAAGGAAUGACACCAGAGGUACUCCUAUGGAUAACACACACAAGAAUCUAUGCACACACAUGCACAGGCAUAUACUCACACACACAUAUGCACACACACAGAGACAUACAUACACACAUGCACACAUGCACUUGUACGCAGAGAAAAGCAGAUUCUCAGGAGUAGUUUGAGGUGCAUCUUCAUCUUUGGAAAACAUUAGUUUAAAUCUCAGAAAACAGACCUGCAACUCACAGGAGAAAUUACAGGAAGGUGCAUUUUUCAACUACAAAACCUUCCAAGAACAAGGCUGUAGAACAGGAGAUGGAGAUGGCCUCUCUACCCUACUCCCUGGACUCCCAGCCCCUCUCCUGGAAUGAUUACACAGGGAGACUCAAUGGUCACAGGCAGAGCUACCACAUUCACAUCUGCCUGUGAAUGAAGACUGCUUGCAGAUGUGUCCACAUUGCCGUUCAGGAAAUGUUUAUUGGUCAGAGGCUAAGAGGACACUUGUCCCUGUGUAUAUUGCCACUUACUUGCCCCCUCUGUGACAGGAGAGUCCUCUACACGAAGCAGAAGCAUCUCAAGUCUACACCACUCUUUGAGAGCCCUACACUUCCCAGUGGAUCACUGCUAGCCAAGUAUGCGGACAGCGUGCUUGCUGCUGGCGCCAAGAAGCACAAUCGAGGGAGGAAGAGCGUAUCUUAAAUAGAAGUGGUAUUUGCAGUUGGUAAAACAUAGAUUAUUUUUGCUCUUAGAGAAAUUGAUUUCCUAGAAGAUGAUUAAUUAUGUCUGCAAAACAGAAAAUCCAUCAAAGACAAAGUGGUUUUCCUUUCAGAAAACACUAAAAAAAAAUUCUCUACCAUGUCAUUGCAUAAAUAUGAUGUGCUAUUAAUAGGCAUCUUGUCUCCUUAUACUGGGUUCAUUUUCUGGGGAAGUGGGGACUUGCUUUGAGACUAGGGAAAUGUUUUGUUCUCUUCUCUGGUUCCUGGGAAUCUAAGCAAAAGUUCUGCCUGUACUAACUCUAAUGAAGGUCAUUGUGUGGGGAAAACAAGGAAAGAGACCCCAACUUGCAGUGUGAAAGGGACUUUUUCAGUGAGUCUGUGCUACCUUCAAGGAAGGUCCAGAAUCCCACUACCGUCCAACUAACCCACUUCUUAUACCCUCACCCAGCAGGCCCAGGAUGCCACCUUGCUCCAGCCAUGACUGUGCACUGGCCCCCUCUAGGACUGAGUAAGAAAACCUUUCCAGGGGCAGCCCUGGGAGUGACUUUCAUCUGGAGUGCUAUAGUUACCUCCUAGCUGGGAUUUCUCAAUCCAUCUCCCUUCCUUUCUAGAAGGUCACUCUAAUCAGACAGCCAGAGUGAUCCUGUAAAAACCAGUUAGAUCACAGGCUGUGUGGCUCAAUCCUUGCAAAAGCCUCCCAUCUCAACCAUAGUUGAAAACAGAGUGCUUAGCCCCACCCUA